rnacentral:lncRNA from 1 species
GUGGAAGGUCUCUAGUUUCAAAAUAUUGGUACUGUACAAUAAAAAGUUCCCUGUUGGAUUCCGUGGUAGCAUGUCGCUAGGUUAAAGUAUCUCCGUGUUAGUAAACAUUGAAUGUACGCUGGUAGUUACCAUCUGCUAGUUAUGAGAAACACAAAGAAAUAGCUAUUGCCCUGAAUUCUAUAUCUCCACGACUGAGAUGCCACGUCUUACUACUUGCUGGUGAUUUAUCUCCCCACUUUGAAGACUCUGUAACUAUGAGCAGUCGACUUGAUCCAACUAAUUCAACUUGGAUGAAGGUUUAUUUUAAAUAUUCUUUUUAAUCACAAUUUGUUAUAUGUUUCUUUAUUUUAUAACCGUCGUUGAACAGCCGACCCAA